rnacentral:rRNA from 1 species
AUGAGGAAUUUGAAAGACAAAAGAACUAAGAUUUAUCCCUCAACUACGAGGGGAGGUAAGGAACUGCCAUCUAGCUCUGCACUAGAUUCUCCUUCUGUUAUGAGUAAACUUGCGACACCUAAACCUGCUUCUGCUAUGAAUUCUGAUAUGUCGCAUGUUAUUGAUGAUGCCACUUCUACUAUACAUGAUACUUAUGAUGAAAUUACUUCUGUGCUUGAUACUACUGUGCCAUUAGGUGAAUAUCUUGAUGAACAACUUGCUCGGGUUAGAGAGAAUAAAAUUCUUGAAACUGAUAUUAUUGAAGAUAGUGAUGAUGAAGGUUCUCCCCCUAAAUAUGAAUUGCCUGUUAUUCCUGAGGGUUAUGUUAUGGAUGAAGAAACUGCUAGAGAUUUUCUUGCUUGUAAUGAUAGAUCUGAUCUUAAUAAUUUAUUAGCUAAACUGAAACAGAAAACUCUGAAUGCUAGAAUGAAAUAUGAUCCUACUUUUGCUACUUCACCUAUCUUUGUUGUUGAUAAGGAUUAUGAAUUCUCUAUCGAUCCUGAGAUAAUUACUUUGGUUGAAUCUGAUUCUUUUUAUGGCUAUGAAUCUGAAACGGUUGUGGCACAUCUUACUAAAUUACAUGAUAUAGCCACCCUGUUCACUAAUGAUGACAAAUCUCUCUACUAUUAUAUCCUUAAGAUAUUUCCAUUCUCAUUAAAGGGUGAUGCUAAAACUUGGUUUAAUUCUCUUAAUCCUGGUUGUGUGCGUAGUCCCCAGGAUAUGAUUUAUUACUUUUUUGCUAAAUAUUUCCCUGCUCAUAAGAAACAAGCUGCUUUAAGGGAAAGAUAUAAUUUUGUGCAAAUUAAAGAAGAGAGUCUCCCACAAGUUUGGGGGAGGCUUCUCCAAUUACUUAAUGCUUUGCCUGAUAAUCCUCUUAAGAAAAAUGAAAUACUUGAUAUCUUUUAUAGUAAACUAACCGAUGCUUUCAAGGACCACUUGGAUAGUUGUGUUGGUUGUGUUUUCAGGGAAAGAACUGUCGAUCAAGCUGAAUUGCUAUUGAAUAAUAUGUUGACUAAUGAAAAUAAUUGGACACUUCCUGAGCCAACUCCUGAGCCAAUUCCUAAACCAACUCUGAAGAAAAGGGGAGUUCUAUUUCUCAGUCCUGAAGAUAUGCAAGAUGCAAACAAAUCUAUGAAAGAAAAAGAUAUUAAAGUUGAAGAUGUUAAAAAUUUACCUCCUAUUGAAGACAUACAUGGUCUUAAUAUACCACCUAUUGAAGAAAUACAUGCUCUCGAUAACCCUACACAUGUAGUAAAGAAAAAAGAUGAAGAGAUUUUUCUUGAGGGGCUCUUCUAG